AGUUUGAUCCUGGCUCAGGAUGAACGCUAGCUACAGGCUUAACACAUGCAAGUCGAGGGGCAGCAUUGGGGUAGCAAUACUUCAGAUGGCGACCGGCGCACGGGUGAGUAACACGUAUCCAACCUGCCGCUUACUCGGGGAUAGCCUUUCGAAAGAAAGAUUAAUACCCGAUGGUAUAAAGAGUUCGCAUGUUCUCUUUAUUAAAGAAUUUCGGUAAGCGAUGGGGAUGCGUUCCAUUAGAUUGUUGGCGGGGUAACGGCCCACCAAGUCUACGAUGGAUAGGGGUUCUGAGAGGAAGGUCCCCCACAUUGGAACUGAGACACGGUCCAAACUCCUACGGGAGGCAGCAGUGAGGAAUAUUGGUCAAUGGACGAGAGUCUGAACCAGCCAAGUAAGCGCGAAGGAUGACUGCCCUAUGGGUUGUAAACUUCUUUUAUAAGGGAAUAAAGUGAGGGACGUGUCCCUUUUGUAUGUACCUUAUGAAUAAGGAUCGGCUAACUCCGUGCCAGCCGCCGC
rnacentral:rRNA from 1 species